rnacentral:piRNA from 1 species
UGUUUUGUUUUUGCAGAGAAAUGGGUUCU